UUAACUCACAUUUGUAUGGAGGUGGAACGUUUGACUACGUUGGCCGCUAGGGGCGCUGUUCCAACUGCAUACAAAUAUGAGUUA
rnacentral:pre_miRNA from 1 species